AUUGAACGCUGGCGGCAGGCCUAACACAUGCAAGUCGAGCGAGCGGCGGACGGGUGAGUAAUGUAUGGGGACUGCCCGAUAGAGGGGGAUAACUACUUGAAACGGUGGCUAAUUCCGCAUACCAUCUGAUAACCCUUAUGGGAUUAGCUAGUAGGCGGGGUAAAGGCUCACCUAGGCGACGAUGUCUAGCUGGUCUGAGAGGAGGAUCAGCCACACGGGGACUGAGACACGGCCCAGACUCCGACGGAGGCAGCAGUGGGGAAUAUUGCGCAAUGGGCGAAAGCCUGAUGCAGCCAUGCCGCGUGUAUGAAGAAGGCCUUAGGAUUGUAAAGUACUUUCAGCGGGGAGGCGUUACCCAAAGAAGAAGCACCGGCUAACUACGUGCCAGCAGCCGCGGUAAUAC
rnacentral:rRNA from 1 species